GCUAGUUGUAUUAACUCUUAGUUAAUACAAGAUCGACUAUGUCGACUAAAGUUCUAGGUAGAAUAAUGAUGAUGACAAUUUUCUACCUAUAUGUCUUGACCAAAUCUCGUGCCAGCAGUCGCGGUAAUACGUGGAAGACUAGUGUUAUUCAUCUUAAAUAGGUUUAAAGGGUACCUAGACGGUAUAUCUAGCCCAAAACAGGGUACGGAUUAACUAGAGUUUUAUGUGAGAAGGGGAGUACUUUUAGAGUAAAGAUGAAAUUUUAUGAUACUAUGAGGAAACUGGUGGCGGCGAAAGCAACCUUCUAUGUAUAAACUGACGUUGAGGGACGAAGGCUUGGGUAGCAAAUAGGAUUAGAUACCCUAGUAGUCCAAGCAGACAAUUCUGAAUGCCAUAGAUUAGAUUUUUUUGAUUUAUAAAUGAAAGUGUAAGCAUUCCACCUUAGGAGUAAUGUGGCAACACAGGAACUGAAAUCAUUAGACCGUUUCUGAAACCAGUAGUGAAGUAUGUUAUUUAAUUUGAUAGUCCUCAAAAAACCUUACCACAACUUGAAUGUUAUUUAAUUAAUACAAGCGUUGCACGGCUGUCUUCAGUUAAUGUCGUGAGAUUUUGGUUAACUCCUUAAAUUAACGUAAACCCAUGCUUUA
rnacentral:rRNA from 1 species